rnacentral:rRNA from 1 species
UACGAAGGGGGCGAGCGUUGUUCGGAUUUACUGGGCGUAAAGGGCGCGUAGGCGGCCCUGUUUGUCGCGUGUGAAAGCCCCGGGCUCAACCUGGGAAUGGCAGUGGAAACUAGGGGACUGGAAUCUGGCAGAGGGGGGUGGAAUGCCGCGUGUAGCAGUGAAAUGCGUAGAGAUGCGGCGGAACACCGAUGGCGAAGGCAGCCCCCUGGGCUGAGAUUGACGCUCAGGCACGAAAGCGUGGGGAGCAAACAGG